UACGUAGGUGGCAAGCGUUGUCCGGAUUUACUGGGUGUAAAGGGCGUGCAGCCGGGCUUUUAAGUCAGAUGUGAAAUCCGCGGGCUCAACCCGCGAACUGCAUUUGAAACUGAGAGUCUUGAGUACCGGAGAGGUUAUCGGAAUUCCUUGUGUAGCGGUGAAAUGCGUAGAUAUAAGGAAGAACACCAGUGGCGAAGGCGGAUGACUGGACGGCAACUGACGGUGAGGCGCGAAAGCGUGGGGAGCAAACAGG
rnacentral:rRNA from 1 species